rnacentral:rRNA from 1 species
CCUACGGGAGGCAGCAGUGGGGAAUAUUGCACAAUGGGCGCAAGCCUGAUGCAGCGACGCCGCGUGAGGGAUGGAGGCCUUCGGGUUGUAAACCUCUUUUGUUAGGGAGCAAGGCACUUUGUGUUGAGUGUACCUUUCGAAUAAGCACCGGCUAACUACGUGCCAGCAGCCGCGGUAAUACGUAGGGUGCAAGCGUUAUCCGGAUUUAUUGGGCGUAAAGGGCUCGUAGGCGGUUCGUCGCGUCUGGUGUGAAAGUCCAUCGCUUAACGGUGGAUCUGCGCCGGGUACGGGCGGGCUGGAGUGCGGCAGGGGAGACUGGAAUUCCCGGUGUAACGGUGGAAUGUGUAGAUAUCGGGAAGAACACCAAUGGCGAAGGCAGGUCUCUGGGCCGUUACUGACGCUGAGGAGCGAAAGCGUGGGGAGCGAACAGGAUUAGAUACCCUGGUAGUCCACGCCGUAAACGGUGGAUGCUGGAUGUGGGGCCCUUUCCACGGGUUCCGUGUCGGAGCUAACGCGUUAAGCAUCCCGCCUGGGGAGUACGGCCGCAAGGCUAAAACUCAAAGAAAUUGACGGGGGCCCGCACAAGCGGCGGAGCAUGCGGAUUAAUUCGAUGCAACGCGAAGAACCUUACCUGGGCUUGACAUGUUCCCGACGACCUCAGAGAUGGGGUUUCCCUUCGGGGCGGGUUCACAGGUGGUGCAUGGUCGUCGUCAGCUCGUGUCGUGAGAUGUUGGGUUAAGUCCCGCAACGAGCGCAACCCU